GACGAACGCUGGCGGCGUGCUUAACACAUGCAAGUCGAACGGAAAGGCCCUGCUUUUGUGGGGUGCUCGAGUGGCGAACGGGUGAGUAACACGUGAGUAACCUGCCCUUGACUUUGGGAUAACUUCAGGAAACGGGGGCUAAUACCGGAUAGGAGCUCCUGCUGCAUGGUGGGGGUUGGAAAGUUUCGGCGGGUGGGGAUGGACGCGCGGCUUAUCAGCUUGUUGGUGGGGUAGUGGCUUACCAAGGCUUUGACGGGUAGCCGGCCUGAGAGGGUGACCGGCCACAUUGGGACUGCGAUACGGCCCAGACUCCUACGUGAGGCAGAAGUGGGGAAUCUUGCACAAUGGGCGGACGCCUGAUGCAGCAACGCCGCGUUCGGGAUGACGGCCUUCGGGUUGUAAACCGCUUUCGCCUGUGACGAAGCGUGAGUGACGGUAAUGGGUAAAGAAGCACCGGCUAACUACGUG
rnacentral:rRNA from 1 species